GUGCCAGCCGCCGCGGUAACACGAACCGUCCAAACGUUAUUCGGAAUCACUGGGCUUAAAGGGUGCGUAGGCGGUGCGAUAAGUCGGGUGUGAAAUCCCUCGGCCCAACCGAGGAACUGCGCCCGAUACUGUCGUGCUCGAGGGAGGCAGAGGUAAGCGGAACCAGCAGUGGAGCGGUGAAAUGCGUUGAUAUUGCUGGGAACACCAGUGGCGAAAGCGGCUUACUGGGCCUCUUCUGACGCUGAGGCACGAAAGCUAGGGGAGCGAACGGGAUUAGAUACCCCGGUAGUCCUAGCUGUAAACGAUGAGCACUAGAUCGGGGGAACUCCCACAUUUUCCCGGUCGUAGCGAAAGUGUUAAGUGCUCCGCCUGGGGAGUAUGGUCGCAAGGCUGAAACUUAAAUGAAUUGACGG
rnacentral:rRNA from 1 species